rnacentral:rRNA from 1 species
UAGGGAAUCUUCCACAAUGGACGCAAGUCUGAUGGAGCAACGCCGCGUGAGUGAAGAAGGUUUUCGGAUCGUAAAGCUCUGUUGUUGGUGAAGAAGGAUAGAGGUAGUAACUGGCCUUUAUUUGACGGUAAUCAACCAGAAAGUCACGGCUAACUACGUGCCAGCAGCCGCGGUAAUACGUAGGUGGUAAGCGUUGUCCGGAUUUAUUGGGCGUAAAGCGAGCGCAGGCGGAAGAAUAAGUCUGAUGUGAAAGCCCUCGGCUUAACCGAGGAACUGCAUCGGAAACUGUUUUUCUUGAGUGCAGAAGAGGAGAGUGGAACUCCAUGUGUAGCGGUGGAAUGCGUAGAUAUAUGGAAGAACACCAGUGGCGAAGGCGACUCUCUGGUCUGCAACUGACGCUGAGGCUCGAAAGCAUGGGUAGCGAACAGG